rnacentral:sRNA from 1 species
UUUUUUUUUAAAAUUUUUUUGAUAAAAUGGUCAAAUUUUGUUGACUAGACUAUUUCGGGCAUGCCGUGAAAUUUUCGUAAACAACGUCGUAUUUAUGAGCUCUAAAACGACGUCGUUUUGUUAGAAAAAAUGAGGGAAAAAUGCAUUGAUUAGGUUUUGAACUAAAGACUUGAUGCCAAAUUUAGGGACUCUCUACCGCUGAGGUAUAAUAACACUUUAAUAUAUUUGUAAGAACGCAUAUAUAUAUAUAUAUAUAUAUAUAUAUAUACUAACAAAUAACAAUAUUCAUUUAAUUAAAAACAUGCAAUAAAUUAAAAAUAACAAAAUUAAAAAGAAUACCAUACACUCCUUAAGAAGGUAGAUAUGCACAAUGUUAAACACUAUUUGCGUUUGGCAGAGAAAUUCAGUAUCUCAUAAUUUCUCUUAUAUUUUUCAGAAUCUCCUCCUUGACUGUUCACAUGACAAACUCACAAUAGGGCCACCUCUACACAAGUUUGCAGAGAGCCUUCCCCCUUUGGAUGAGGCCAUUAGUGGCUCCCAAAGGACACAUCUCUGGAGACGAACUUGGAGUGUUUAUGGGGACUCUCGUCUCUAUCACGGCCUUUGUGGUAACUUGCACGAACGAGAAUGUCAACAUAGUUUCCCGGUUAUCAACGGUAAAGAGUUUCUCUAUAAAUGGUUUUAUAGAAUUUACUAGUAAUAGUUAGUGUUGCUAAUGUUAACUCUGAAUUUUAUUUUGUUUUAACUGUACUGGACAAAGGUGUAGAAGUCAAACCAACCUUACUCAAAGGGCUCAAUUCACUCCCAUGGGUAAUAGUUGGAGGAGUGGUUCCUAUUCUAGCUGGAGGGUUCAUUUCUGAUUGGCUCAUCAGAGUUGUUGUUACAGCAGCAAUGCAUUGGUCUUAAAGAUAAUAUUGGCUUAUCUCUGGAGUGUAUCUUAUGAUAUCCCUAUCAGAAAGGCAUCACUUGUUGUUGCGUUGCAGACUUUUCUUUCCUUACAAUGAUUAAGUAUAUUAGGAUGAUAAGAAAUAUAUGCGAUCAAGAGUAAUGCCGUAGCAAAUAAUCAAUCUAAUCGAGAUGAAAAGCAAUCCAAUGAAAUGAUUCAAAU